GGGAGUAUAGCUCAGUGGCAGAGUGCCUGCUUAGCAUGCAUGAGGUCCUGGGUUCAUUCCCCAGUACCUCCA
rnacentral:tRNA from 1 species